GACGAACGCUGGCGGCGUGCUUAACACAUGCAAGUCGAACGGAAAGGCCCUGCUUUUGUGGGGUGCUCGAGUGGCGAACGGGUGAGUAACACGUGAGUAACCUGCCCUUGACUUUGGGAUAACUUCAGGAAACUGGGGCUAAUACCGGAUAGGAGCUCCUGCUGCAUGGUGGGGGUUGGAAAGUUUCGGCGGUUGGGGAUGGACUCGCGGCUUAUCAGCUUGUUGGUGGGGUAGUGGCUUACCAAGGCUUUAACGGGUAGCCGGCCUGAGAGGGUGACCGGCCACAUUGGGACUGAGAUACGGCCCAGACUCCUACGGGAGGCAGAAGUGGGGAAUAUUGAACAAUGGGCGGAAGCCUGAUGCAGCAACGCCGCGUGCGGGAUGACGGCCUUCGGGUUGUAAACCGCUUUCGCCUGUGACGAAGCGUGAGUGACGGUAAUGGGUAAAGAAGCACCGGCUAACUACGUG
rnacentral:rRNA from 1 species